UUGAAUGACAGGUCUGCUGCCAAACUGU
rnacentral:piRNA from 1 species